rnacentral:rRNA from 1 species
GUGGGGAAUCUUCCGCAAUGGACGAAAGUCUGACGGAGCAACGCCGCGUGAGUGAAGAAGGUUUUCGGAUCGUAAAGCUCUUUCGUUAGGGACGAACGUGCUCUUUGUGAAUAAUGAGGAGUAAUGACGGUACCUAAAUAAGAAGCCACGGCUAACUACGUGCCAGCAGCCGCGGUAAUACGUAGGUGGCAAUCGUUGUCCGGAAUUAUUGGGCGUAAAGCGCGCGCAGGCGGGAUAUCAAGUCUGUCUUAAAAGUGCGAGGCUCAACCUCGUGAGGGGACAGAAACUGGUAUUCUUGGGUGUCGGAGAGGAAAGUGGAAUUCCAAGUGUAGCGGUGAAAUGCGUAGAGAUUUGGAAGAACACCAGUGGCGAAGGCGACUUUCUGGACGAUGUCUGACGCUGAGGCGCGAAAGCUAGGGGAGCGAACGGGAUUAGAUACCCCAGUAGUCC